UGAACGCUGGCGGCGUGCUUAACACAUGCAAGUCGAACGAGAACGGUCCUUCGGGAUGUCAGCUAAGUGGCGGACGGGUGAGUAAUGUAUAGUUAAUCUGCCCUUUAGAGGGGGAUAACAGUUGGAAACGACUGCUAAUACCCCAUACUCCUUUUACCUUAAUGGUAAUUGGGAAACGUUUUUUCGCUAAAGGAUGAGACUAUAUGGUAUCAGGUAGUUGGUGGGGUAAGAGCCUACCAAGCCAAUGACGCCUAGCUGGUCUGAGAGGAUGAUCAGCCACACUGGAACUGAGACACGGUCCAGACUCCUACGGGAGGCAGCAGUGGGGAAUAUUGCACAAUGGAGGAAACUCUGAUGCAGCAACACCGCGUGGAGGAUGACACAUUUCGGUGCGUAAACUCCUUUUAUAUGGGAAGAUAAUGACGGUACCAUAUGAAUAAGCACCGGCUAACUCC
rnacentral:rRNA from 1 species